UGAUACUAAGCCAUGCGAGUCAUUGUAGCAAUACAAGGCAUACGGCUCAGUAACGCGUAGUCAACCUAACCUAUGGACGGGAAUAACCUCGGGAAACUGAGAAUAAUGCCCGAUAGAACAUUAUGCCUGGAAUGGUUUAUGUUCCAAAUGAUUUAUCGCCGUAGGAUGGGACUGCGGCCUAUCAGUUUGUUGGUGAGGUAAUGGCCCACCAAGACUAUUACAGGUACGGGCUCUGAGAGGAGUAGCCCGGAGAUGGGUACUGAGACACGGACCCAGGCCCUAUGGGGCGCAGCAGGCGAGAAAACUUUGCAAUGUGCGAAAGCACGACAAGGUUAAUCCGAGUGGUCUCUGCUAAAGGAACCUUUUGUCAGUCCUAGAAACACUGAUGAAUAAGGGGUGGGCAAGUUCUGGUGUCAGCCGCCGCGGUAAAACCAGCACCUCAAGUGGUCAGGAUGAUUAUUGGGCCUAAAGCAUCCGUAGCCGGCUCUGUAAGUUUUCGGUUAAAUCUGUACGCUCAACGUACAGGCUGCCGGGAAUACUGCAAAGCUAGGGAGUGGGAGAGGUAGACGGUACUCGGUAGGAAGGGGUAAAAUCCUUUGAUCUAUUGAUGACCACCUGUGGCGAAGGCGGUCUACCAGAACACGUCCGACGGUGAGGGAUGAAAGCUGGGGGAGCAAACCGGAUUAGAUACCCGGGUAGUCCCAGCUGUAAACCAUGCAAACUCAGUGAUGCAUUGGCUUGUGGCCAAUGCAGUGCUGCAGGGAAGCCGUUAAGUUUGCCGCCUGGGAAGUACGUACGCAAGUAUGAAACUUAAAGGAAUUGGCGGGGGAGCACCACAAGGGGUGAAGCCUGCG
rnacentral:rRNA from 1 species